AAAUAUAAAAAAAUUGUGGAGUAAUUGAAAUGUUCGUUUCACGGGAUUCAUUUACCUUCUUCUUCUUCUUCUUCUCAAUUAAUCUCAUCUGUUGACGCCGCCUGUCGGAACGCCACCGCCGCCGUUAUCUCUAAUCGUCGAAGGAGGAAAGAUUUGAGAUGGUGGUAUGUUUUGAGGCUACACCUAAAAAGAUCGCAGCUACGACAGCGUUCUUCCUUUUUGGUUGCUCGUUAUUUGGAUAUGGUUUGCACCUUUCUCAUGUUAAUGUUGCUCCUCAACAAGCUCGACUCCAAGCCCGGAAUGAUUACAUUAGAGCGAGAUUGAAGAAGUUACACGGAAAUAAAUCGUUCUAGCCCAUGGAUCAGUACAGCAUCUUAAGCACUACGAGUAUUAAGUUAUAAAGUUCUGCUGUUAUUCAUAGUGUUUGAAUCUUAUAAACAAUGCAGAGGGCUUCACCAAACAUAUAUGUCUGGUUAGUGAUUGUUUUGAAAUUUGGUAGAUAUAAGCACAUUUAUUCCUUUUACAGCAGUCAUGUAAGUUUGCACAUGUUGCUAUGAAUGUAAGCGCAUUUCUUCUUCUCCCGGUUGGAGCA